rnacentral:rRNA from 1 species
GAUGAACGCUGGCGGCGUGCCUAAUACAUGCAAGUCGAGCGAACAGACGAGGAGCUUGCUCCUCUGACGUUAGCGGCGGACGGGUGAGUAACACGUGGAUAACCUACCUAUAAGACUGGGAUAACUUCGGGAAACCGGAGCUAAUACCGGAUAAUAUAUUGAACCGCAUUGUUCAAUAGUUAAAGACGGUUUUGCUGUCACUUAUAGAUGGAUCCGCGCCGCAUUAGCUAGUUGGUAAGGUAACGGCUUACCAAGGCGACGAUGCGUAGCCGACCUGAGAGGGUGAUCGGCCACACUGGAACUGAGACACGGUCCAGACUCCUACGGGAGGCAGCAGUAGGGAAUCUUCCGCAAUGGGCGAAAGCCUGACGGAGCAACGCCGCGUGAGUGAUGAAGGUCUUCGGAUCGUAAAACUCUGUUAUUAGGGAAGAACAAAUGUGUAAGUAACUAUGCACGUCUUGACGGUACCUAAUCAGAAAGCCACGGCUAACUACGUG